GGCGAGCUUCCGGCAAACUUCCGGCGGUCUUCCGAUGAACUCUCGGAAACCAUUCUGCGGACUCCCGGCAAGCUCCUAGACUUCACGAUUUGUUCUUAGCGAGUUCCAACGAGCUUCUUCGGCAAGCUCCGAUCUUUCUCGGCGAGCUCCGCGAACUCCCAACGAACCUUCGGACUUCCGUCGAACUCUCGAACUCGCAACAAAUCCUUCGCGCUUGACUCCGACACUUUGUUUCGCUUUAUGUCUUCAUCGUUAUCAUAGUUAAUCCUGCACAAUUAAAACAAAACUUCGAUCAAGAUAAUUAAUCCUAAGCAAUUAACCAAGUUGUCCGGCAUGUCAUUGGUCCCUCGACGCUUCGUCUGAUUUUUCGGCGCAUCGUCCUCUCCUGCGGCCUAUUGCCCAAUCGGCCAGUUGACUCCGCAACUCCGAUAUCCUUGGCACAAUAACCGCUCUUCUUGGCCCAAUGCCCGAGUCCACUGCCCGAAGCCUUCUGUCGAUACGUCGACCGAUCUACCGGCCCG
rnacentral:lncRNA from 1 species